rnacentral:rRNA from 1 species
UGGUGGAGUGAUUUGUCUGGUUAAUUCCGUUAACGAACGAGACCUCGACCUGCUAAAUAGUUGCGCGAGCCUUCGGGCUCUGUAGUGACUUCUUAGAGGGACUAUCGGUUCCUAACCGAUGGAAGUUCGAGGCAAUAACA